GCCAUUGGGUUAAACGUCUGAGAAAUCCGUACGAGGAGCCAAGUUGAAGUGGAGGGGGAACUGCGGCCUUUGGUUACUUCUCCGAGCCCAGCGCCUCAACAACACAUUGGAUUUCGCGUCUGCAGCUGAGCGGGUGCAAGUGGUGAUUGAUGAAGCAUGUCUGCCACAAGCGUUGACCCUCAGAGAGCAAAAGGACAAGAGAAUAAAGUGCAAAAUGGUUCGUUGCAUCAAAAGGAUGCAGUGCACGACAACGAUUUUGAGCCAUACCUAAGCAGCCAGUCUAAUCAGAAUAACAGCUAUCCUUCAAUGACUGAUCCAUAUCUGUCAAGCUAUUAUGCUCCUUCCAUUGGAUUUUCCUAUUCUCUUAGUGAAGCAGCACCAUGGUCCACUGGUGGUGAUCCUCCUAUUCCAUACUUAACAACAUAUGGACAACUGAGCAACGGAGACCAUCAUUUCAUGCAUGAUGCUGUGUUUGGUCAACCUGGGGGCCUAGGGAGCACUCCAUAUUUAAAUCAGCAUAGGUUCAACUUUUUUCCUGAAAAUCCUGGGUUUUCUGCUUGGGGGACAGGCGGGUCUCAGGGACAACAAACACCAAGUUCAGCAUAUGGCAGUAGCUAUAGUUACCCACCUAGUUCUUUGGGUGGGACAAUAGUAGAUGGACAGGCAGGGUUUCCAAAUGAUACUUUGAAUAAAGCCCCAGGCAUGAAUAGCAUUGAACAAGGGAUGGUUGGAUUAAAGAUUGGUGGAGCUGUGACCUCAUCAGGUGUGAAGACAGUGGGGUCUGUGGUGAAUAGCCCAGGGAUAACUAAUGCAGCACCUGGAAAUGGCUCAACAGUGGGUGUAUCUGCUCCAAAGCCAACGUCAUGGGCUGCCAUUGCAAGUAAACCAGCCAAGCCUCAACCAAAACUAAAACCAAAGACUGGAGCAGCAGUGGGAAGUUCUGCAUUGCCUCCACCUCCUAUAAAACACAAUAUGGAUAUUGGUACGUGGGAUAAUAAAGGACCUGUAGCAAAAGCUCCUCCACCUAAUCAGGUCCCUACUACUCAGGUAGUUCCUCAGCAGCAAUUGACUCAGCCCCCUCCAACUCAGCAGUUGCAGAUUCCACAGCAACCAUUUCAGAAUCCUCAGCAACCCCCACAGAAUCGUUGGAUAGCCCCUCGCAACAGAGGUGCAGCAUUUGGUCAAAAUAAUGGACCUGGUAAUGAAAACAACUCUCUGGGUAAUGUACCAGUUAGCUCUCCACCAAGCAAUGAGACUCAUCCUGUCCUUGAAAAACUGAAGGCUGCUUACAGCUAUAAUCCAAAAGACUUUGACUGGAAUGUCAAAAAUGGUCGAGUGUUUAUUAUCAAGAGCUACUCUGAGGAUGACAUCCAUCGUUCUAUCAAGUACUCCAUUUGGUGCAGUACAGAACAUGGCAAUAAACGCUUGGACAGUGCAUAUCGCUCGCUGGCUGGCAAGGGUCCUGUUUACUUACUAUUCAGUGUAAAUGGCAGUGGACAUUUUUGUGGAGUUGCAGAAAUGAAAUCAGCAGUGGACUAUGGCACAUGUGCUGGAGUUUGGUCACAGGACAAGUGGAAAGGAAAAUUUGAUGUUAAGUGGAUCUUUGUAAAGGAUGUGCCUAAUAACCAGCUGAGGCAUAUCCGUUUGGAAAACAAUGAUAAUAAGCCAGUCACUAACUCUCGAGACACACAGGAGGUUCCUUUAGAAAAAGCCAAGCAAGUGCUCAAAAUUAUUGCUACUUACAAGCAUACCACCUCAAUUUUUGAUGACUUUUCACAUUAUGAAAAGCGCCAGGAAGAGGAGGAAGUUGUACGUAAGGACAAGGUUUCUCUACCAGUGGCUUCUCAUUAUUUACAAGCCACCGUUCCUAUGAAGGCACAGUCAUCCAAGCUUCAGGGAGAAUGAGCUGCAUCAGAACGGCUGCAUCAGUCCUCAUCCUCUUCAAGUUUUGCUCCAAAGAUCUCUGGAGCGCCUGAAUCGAAACAAAUGAUAAGAAAACAUUUGACUUGAUGAAUUAUUUAAAAAAAACUGAAAAAAGCUGGUGCUGUGAUUCCAGCAUCAGAAUGAAAAAUCAAAGCUUUCUGCUCCAGUGAUAUCUUUAUGUGCAGGGGAAUUAAGCUAUAUCAUGUUUUUAAUACUCUUCAGUUUUUUGAUUUUGUUUUUGCCCAGACUGGUCUGCAUUUUGUUUGUAAUUUUGCACCUAAAUGCUGUAGCAGUCACUGGUAACUUCUGUUACACUGAAGCUUUAGCUUGCAUUUGUUUAGCAAUCCUGGGAAGAUGAGCACUCUGUGCUCCUUUUUAUAGGAAAUAUUACUGCAUCAGCCUUCUGUAGUUUGGAUGAUGUGAUGCUUUCAGCGUUACUAGUUUUUGGUGAUGUGCAUUAACUUUGAGCUUUUUUUCAAGCUGCUGUUAAUUUGCAUUCUUUCAUGAAAAUCCCACGGCCAUUUUAUUUUUCCUUCUGUAAAGCUAAGCUUUAAUGUAGGAACAAAUAGUGGAAAUGAUGGUUGAUGUCUCAAAAAAUAUAAAUUGAUGCAAACGUCUCUUGAUUCUUCCAAAAUGAAAUACUUUGAUUCAUUUUCUGUCCGAAAGCUGUACUUUGCUGUACUGUCUGUGAAAUGAGGGAACCAUUGAAAUUGCUGCAGACUGGAUAAAGCAUGAAACGGUGCUCAUGCCUGUUGCUUUAGUUCACAGAAACUUGCACGUGUUUAUUGUAGAGGAACUUUACUAUCAUUAGGAAGCAAACGAUUAACUCUUCUAAACUUAGUUAUAAAAAUGGACCUCAAUUUAAAGAAAUAAACUAUCAUUUAGACUUAUUUAGACAAUUUUAGUUAUGUCUAUGGAAUAUUGCCUGUAAGGUAAAUGAACAUCAUUGGGUUGAUUUUCUUUCCUCUAGGAGAAUACAAGCCUUAAUAAACAAUAUCUGUUUAGCAAGCACAAGUGAUUUCUUCUUCAUGGCUCCAUUAAGUUAUGUUCAGCUUUCUUUCCAUUUAUGUUUGGAUUUACCGUAUUGUUAAAAAUGUGCAAUGAAUACCUAUACAUGAAUUGCAUUAAAUUCUGAAUCUUC